rnacentral:tRNA from 1 species
GCGCAGGUGGCGGAAUGGCAGACGCGCUAGCUUGAGGUGUUAGUGGGGUAAUUCCCGUGGAGGUUCGAGUCCUCUUCUGCGCA